GUACCAUGUAGAUGAGAUACUGAGUAAUAGGUGCUAUGUGGAUGAGGUAUGGAUGUAAUACAGAUGGUUCCAUAGUUUAAUUUGUGGGGAUGUGAAUGUGGUUUAGGUGCUGGCUCAAGAGCCAUUUUUACUUUAUUUUGGUAUUUGCAGUCGGGUGUACCAUGUAUUAGUUUUUGCAAACUAUAAUAACUCCACCUCUUUGGUCCCGUCAAAGCUUGAUGACCUAGGAGCCAUUUAUGCAUGUGCUGCUUCAAUCGCUUUUCUUGAAUUAAAUAUUUCUUUUUUCUUUUAUUCAGCAUUGUUCUUCCUCUUGUAUACUUCUGGACUGCUGUAAUUUUUUGGCUUUCUCCACACACAGUUGCUAGACUUGGGAAGGUGCUAUGUUUGGCCAUCAAGCAGUGGGGAAUUGUCUUCUUCUUAAAUUCUGAGGCUUUGGGCUUUUUGCCCGAAAAUACCAUGCCCUUCUGAGGCAAGCAAGUGCUGAGCUAGCACUUCAUGAAUAGUGAUUUUAUUAUUUGAAGUAGGGGAUACCAUUUUAGAGUUUGCCUUUUGAUAGCUUUGCAAUUGUCGUCUCAGAUUCAGUAGAGGAAAAGUAUGGUCACAACUAUAUAUUUUAGCAGCGUGGUGAUUUUGCAUAUUGUUUGCAAAAUGUCUUGAGUAGUUGGCAUCAACUUUCAUUCCAUUCUUAAUCUAUUUCUUGUUUAUUCAUCUCAGCAUCUCUUUUUUGUUUUCCAGGCACUUGAUUUGAAGCCCAAC
rnacentral:misc_RNA from 1 species